rnacentral:rRNA from 1 species
GGGACACGUGGUAUCCUGUCUGAAUAUGGGGGGACCAUCCUCCAAGGCUAAAUACUCCUGACUGACCGAUAGUGAACCAGUACCGUGAGGGAAAGGCGAAAAGAACCCCGGCGAGGGGAGUGAAAAAGAACCUGAAACCGUGUACGUACAAGCAGUGGGAGCCUCUUUUAUGGGGUGACUGCGUACCUUUUGUAUAAUGGGUCAGCGACUUAUAUUCUGUAGCAAGGUUAACCGAAUAGGGGAGCCGAAGGGAAACCGAGUCUUAACUGGGCGUUAAGUUGCAGGGUAUAGACCCGAAACCCGGUGAUCUAGCCAUGGGCAGGUUGAAGGUUGGGUAACACUAACUGGAGGACCGAACCGACUAAUGUUGAAAAAUUAGCGGAUGACUUGUGGCUGGGGGUGAAAGGCCAAUCAAACCGGGAGAUAGCUGGUUCUCCCCGAAAGCUAUUUAGGUAGCGCCUCGUGAAUUCAUCUCCGGGGGUAGAGCACUGUUUCGGCAAGGGGGUCAUCCCGACUUACCAACCCGAUGCAAACUGCGAAUACCGGAGAAUGUUAUCACGGGAGACACACGGCGGGUGCUAACGUCCGUCGUGAAGAGGGAAACAACCCAGACCGCCAGCUAAGGUCCCAAAGUCAUGGUUAAGUGGGAAACGAUGUGGGAAGGCCCAGACAGCCAGGAUGUUGGCUUAGAAGCAGCCAUCAUUUAAAGAAAGCGUAAUAGCUCACUGGUCGAGUCGGCCUGCGCGGAAGAUGUAACGGGGCUAAACCAUGCACCGAAGCUGCGGCAGCGACACUGUGUGUUGUUGGGUAGGGGAGCGUUCUGUAAGCCUGUGAAGGUGUACUGUGAGGUAUGCUGGAGGUAUCAGAAGUGCGAAUGCUGACAUAAGUAACGAUAAAGCGGGUGAAAAGCCCGCUCGCCGGAAGACCAAGGGUUCCUGUCCAACGUUAAUCGGGGCAGGGUGAGUCGACCCCUAAGGCGAGGCCGAAAGGCGUAGUCGAUGGGAAACAGGUUAAUAUUCCUGUACUUGGUGUUACU